rnacentral:rRNA from 1 species
CCUACGGGAUGCAGCAGUGGGGGAUAUUGCACAAUGGGGGGAACCCUGAUGCAGCGACGCCGCGUGGGUGAAGGAGUGCUUCGGCAUGUAAAGCUCUAUCGGCAGGGAAGAAGGAAGACGGUACCGGACUAAGAAGCACCGGCUAACUACGGGCCAGCAGCCGCGGCAAUACGUAGGGGGCGGGCGUUAUCCGGAGUCACUGGGAGUAAAGGGAGCGAAGACGGCAAUGCAAGCCAGGGGUGAAAGCCCGCGGCCCAACCCCGGGACUGCCAUUGGAACUGCAUGGCUGGAGUGCGGGAGGGGCAGGCGGAAUUCCUGGUGUAGCGGUGAAAUGCGUAGAUAUCAGGAGGAACACCGGGGGCGAAGGCGGCCUGCUGGACCGCGACUGACGUUGAGGCUCGAAAGCGUGGGGAGCGAACAGGAUUAGAUACCCGAGUAGUC